GCCUCCGUAGCUCAGUGGAUAGAGCAACGGUUUCCUAAACCGCAGGUCGCAGGUUCGAUUCCUGCCGGGGGCGC
rnacentral:tRNA from 2 species